GCUAAUUCCGUGCGGUCGGCGGUGGAAAUACUGAAGGGCCAGGCGUUAUGCGGAUUUAUUGGGUUUAAAGGGAGCGCAGGCGGCGGCGUAAGUCAGUUGUGAAAUCGUGCGGCUUAACCGUGCAAUUGCAGUUGAUACUGCGUCGCUUGAGUGCACACAGGGAUGUUGGAAUUCAUGGUGUAGCGGUGAAAUGCUUAGAUAUCAUGAAGAACUCCGAUCGCGAAGGCAUAUGUCCGGAGUGCAACUGACGCUGAGGCUCGAAAGUGUGGGUAUCAAACAGGAUUAGAUACCCGAGUAGUC
rnacentral:rRNA from 1 species